rnacentral:rRNA from 1 species
AGAAAAAAAUAAGGGCGUAUGGUGGAUGCCUUGACACAAAAAGCCGAUGAAGGACGUAGCAACCUGCGAUAAGCUUCGGGGAGGCGGUAAGCAACCUUUGAUCCGAAGAUUUCCGAAUGGGGAAACCCCCCUAUGCAAACCAUAGGGAUCCGUUAUCUGAAUUCAUAGGAUAAUGAGAUGGGCACCCGGGGAAUUGAAACAUCUUAGUACCCGGAGGAAAAGAAAAUAAUGUCAGCCUAGCUGAUACAUUCCCUAAGUAGUGGCGAACGAACGGGGAAGAGCCUAAACUUUGUAAACUUUGCUGAAGUUUAUUUGUCUUUUGACUUUUAAAUGGAAGCUUUAAGGCUUUAGGGCCAUAUGUUUGCAGAGGGUUGUAAGAGACUGUAUCUGUUUCCUAAAUAAAACAGGGUAAAGUUACAAAUAAUUUUUCUAGCAGAAUCGUCUGGAAAGACGAACCAUAGACGGUGAUAGUCCGGUAAGCGAAAGAAGAAUUACUUUACGACAGUUUUCUUGAGUAGUGCGGGACACGUGAAAUCCUGUAUGAAUCUGGGUCGACUAUGAUCCAAGGCUAAAUACUUUUUGUGAUCGAUAGUGAACAAGUACCGUGAGGGAAAGGUUAAAAGCAUCCCGGUGAGGGAGAUGAAAUAGUAUCUGAAACCAUACGCUUACAAGGAAUCAGAGCCGUGUUUACACGGUGAUGGUGUGCCUAUUGAAGAAUGAGCCAACGAGUUUGUGUUUGUCGUUGCUUAAGCUCUACGGAGCGAAGGCAAAGUGAAAGCGAGCGUUAACCCGCGAAAUUAUAAUGGCAAAUACAAGACCCGAAGCCGAGUGACCUAACCAUGGCCAGGAUGAAGCCCAUCGAAAGAUGAGUGGAGGUCCGAACCCACUAGUCGUGCAACACUAGGGGAUGAGCUGUGGUUAGCGGAGAAAUUCCAAUCGAACUCGGCAAUAGCUGGUUCUCCUCGAAAUAGCUGUAGGGCUAGCCUUGAGUAAAUUAGAGUCUGGGGGUAGAGCACUGAAUGGGGCCGGGGGAGUCAAAUCCUACCUUCUCCAACCAAACUCCGAAUACCAGAUUUCUGUACCUCGGGAGUUAGACCGUGGGGGCUAAGCUCCACUGGUCGAAAGGGAAACAGCCCAGAUCGCAGUCUAAGGUCCCUAAAUCUAUACUAAGUGUAAAAAGUGGUGAAAUAACUCCGACAACCAGGAGGUUGGCUUAGAAGCAGCCAUCCUUUAAAGAAAGCGUAACAGCUCACUGGUCAAGUCGUUUUGCGCUGAAAAUGUAUCGGGGCUAAAGUAUAGUACCGAAGACGCGAGUUCAUUCCUGCUUAGGCAGGUUUGAGCGGUAGAGGAGCAUUCUAUGGUCGCUGAAGUCAUAUCGCGAGGUGUGGUGGAGAGCAUAGAAGAGAGAAUGUUGGCAUGAGUAACAAAAAGACAGGUGAAAACCCUGUCCACCGUAAAUCUAAGGUUUCCUGGGCAACGCAAAUCGACCCAGGGUUAGUCGGUCCUAAGACGAGUCUAGUGUAGUGCUAGGGUAGCCGAUGGAUAAGCUGGUUAAUAUUCCAGCACCGCCAUUUAAUGUUAAUAAGGUGCGCGGUUCUAAAUUUUAAGCAUACUAUGGUUUGUGUGUCGACCUUUAGUUUACUAAAGGGCGAAAGAUUUUAUUUCGGUAAGGUCAAUUUAAAAAGAUGAAUCGCCUAGAAAAGCCUUUGCGACUUAAUUAGAUGGCGACCGUACUAAAACCAACACAGGUAGAUGAGGCGAGUAGCCUCAGGUGUACGAGAGAACCUUCGUUUAGGAACUAGGCAAAACAGCGGCCGUAACUUCGGGAUAAGGCCUGCCCCACUUCUGUGGGGCCGCAGCUAAAGACCCCUGAUGACUGUUUACCAAAAACACAGGUCCCUGCUAAAUCGCAAGAUGAUGUAUAGGGGCUGAUGCCUGGCCAGUGUCCGAACGUUAAGGAAGAGGGUUAUCCUUCGGGAGAAGCUUUCGACUGAAGCGCGGAUGAACGCCGGCCGUAACUAUAACGGUCCUAAGGUAGCGAAAUUCCUUGACGGGUGAGUUCCGUCCUGCACGAAUGGCAUAACAAUUGGGGGACUGUCUCAACGAAGGACUCGGUGAAAUUGCAAGACGAGUAAAGAUGCUCGUUACCCGCGGCUGGACGAAAAGACCCCGUGAAGCUUUACUACAGCUUGAUAUUGGAUUAGGGGUAUACCUGUUCAGAAUAGGUGGGAGCCUUCGGGCGCCAGUGAGAUACCACCCUUGUAUAGUUUUAAUCCUAACCCUGCGCCGAUAUUGGCGGCUAAAAUUUUUAGCAAUCAAUACCGGUGCGGGGACAGUAUCUGGUGGGUAGUUUGACUGGGGCGGUGGCCUCCCAAAAAGUAACGGAGGCGUUUACAAAGGUUGGCUAGGUCCGGAUGGAAAUCGGGCCGAUAGUGCAAGCGCAUAAGCCAGCUUUACUGCAAGACCUACAAGUCGAGCAGUUGCGAAAGCAGAAGCUAGUGAUCCGACCGUACGAUAUAGGACGGCGGAAGCUCAACGGAUAAAAGCUACUCCGGGGAUAACAGGCUAGUCUGGUCCAAGAGUUCACAUCGACGACCAGGUUCGGCACCUCGAUGUCGGCUCGUCCUAUCCUGGGGCUGAAGAAGGUCCCAAGGGUUUGGCUGUUCGCCAAUUAAAAGGGCACGCGAGCUGGGUUCAGAACGUCGUGAGACAGUUCGGUCUCCUAUCCGCCGUGGGCGUAAAGAAACUUGAGAAGGCCGAUCCCUAGUACGAGAGGACCGGGAUUGACGAACCUCUAGUGUACCAGUUGUUCUACCAAGGGCAUUGCUGGGUAGCUACGUUCGGUUUGGAUAAGCGCUGAAAGCAUCUAAGCACGAAGCCGUCUUCAAGAUUAAGUUUCUUAGAUUCGCGAGAGACUAUCGCGUAAAUAGGUCCUAUGUGUAAGCCCGGCAACGGGUUUAGCAGAGGGAUACUAAUCAAUCG